rnacentral:lncRNA from 1 species
AUGGCGAGAGGUUUUAUUCCUUGCUGGAUCGGCACCUACAUCUGUCUUCCAAAAAGAAAGAAUCUCAGUUACAAGAGGCAGAUCUCCAGGUGGACAAGGAGAGGCACAAUUUCUUCGAGUCCUCCCUUGAUUAUGUUUAUCAAAUCCAGGAAGUUCAGGAGUCCAAGAAGUUCAAUAUUGUGGAGCCAGUCUUGGCCUUUCUUCAUAGCCUCUUCAUUUCCAACAGCUUGACUGUAGAGCUCACACAGGAUUUCCUCCCAUACAAACAGCAGCUCCAGCUCAGUUUGCAGAAUGUGAGUUUGCAUGUGGGUUUUUUUUUUACCUGUCUCUGCAUUCUAAUUGGAUUUCAGCCCUAAUGACCUUGAUCUUAGAAUUCUAGAUUAUUGCAUCCCAGCCAAUUUGUCAGGAUGCACUGAUAUGUAUCACAAAUAUUUUAGUGUACUUGACUAUUCUUGCUCUUCCGGUUUCAGCUCUUCCCUGUCAUUGAGGCUGAAUGUUGUUCUAACCCCCUCUUCCACCCAGUGACACCUCUAUCUAGCUAAUAUUUAUUAAGUGCUGCUAAUUUGCUCCAUCUCUCCAAGAUCAGAACCAAGCUAUGGGCUUGUUUAAGCACAGGUCUUAUGCUACUUCCCUCCUGGUCGCUCAAGACACUCUAAUUGUGGGUUUUAUUAUCAUGAAUGCCAUUUUUCCCCCCAUUCCUUUUCUUACUACUUAUUACUAGAGUUAAAUAAAUUAUUCUUAAAUGUUUUCUCCA